CAAACUUUGCCAUCAGAAGCCCUUGGAUCUGAAAGAUGAUAACACCGAAAUUCACUGUCCUGUUACAGUAAAUCCAUGGCACAUGAAGAAAGCUUUUAAAGUUAUGAAUGAAUUAAGAAGUCAAAACUUGCUGUGUGAUGUGACGAUAGUAGCUGAAGACAUGGAAAUUGCAGCGCAUAGAGUUGUGCUAGCCGCCUGCAGCCCCUACUUCCAUGCCAUGUUUACAGGUGAGAUGAGUGAAAGCCGAGCAAAGAGAGUUCGAAUAAAGGAAGUUGAUGGCUGGACUCUAAGGAUGCUUAUUGAUUAUAUUUACACUGCUGAAAUUCAAGUUACAGAAGAAAAUGUGCAGGUACUGCUCCCAGCAGCUGGUCUCUUGCAACUGCAGGAUGUGAAAAGGACUUGCUGUGAAUUUUUGGAAUCCCAGCUUCAUCCUAUCAACUGCUUGGGGAUUCGUGCUUUUGCUGACAUGCAUGCAUGCACAGAUCUCUUGAACAAGGCCAACACAUACGCAGAACAGCACUUUUCUGAUGUCGUACUUAGUGAAGAAUACCUCAAUCUUGGUGUAGAGCAGGUGUGCAGUCUUAUAUCCAGUGACAAACUCACAAUUGCCUCAGAAGAGAAGGUAUUUGAAGCAGUGAUAGCGUGGGUAAACCAUGACAAAGAUGUAAGGCAGGAGCUAAUGGCACGCCUGAUGGAACAUGUUCGUCUGCCUUUGCUUUCCCGUGAAUAUUUAGUUCAGAGAGUUGAAGAAGAAAUAUUGGUUAAGAACAGCAGUGCUUGUAAAGAUUACCUCAUUGAAGCUAUGAAGUAUCACUUGCUGCCAACUGAGCAACGAGCAUUGAUGAAAAGCACUCGAACAAAAUUGAGAACACCUGCUAGCCUUCCAAAAUUGAUGAUGGUAGUUGGAGGACAGGCGCCAAAGGCAAUUCGCAGUGUUGAAUGCUAUGAUUUUAAAGAAGAACGCUGGCAUCAGGUAGCUGAAUUGCCUUCCAGAAGAUGUAGAGCAGGAAUGGUGUACAUGGGAGGCAUGGUUUAUGCUGUUGGUGGUUUCAAUGGUUCUUUGAGAGUUCGCACAGUAGAUUCCUAUGAUCCAGUAAAGGACCAGUGGACAAGUGUUGCCAAUAUGCAAGAUAGGAGAAGCACAUUGGGAGCAGCUGUAUUAAAUGGCCUUCUUUAUGCUGUGGGAGGAUUUGAUGGGAGUACAGGUUUAUCAUCAGUUGAAGUUUACAACUUAAAGACUAAUGAGUGGUUUCAUGUAGCUCCAAUGAACACAAGAAGAAGUAGUGUUGGUGUAGGUGUUGUUGGAGGUAAACUGUAUGCUGUUGGUGGCUACGAUGGGGCAUCACGUCAGUGCCUUAGUUCAGUAGAAUGCUAUGAUGCUAAUACAAAUGAGUGGACCUAUGUUGCAGAAAUGAGCACUAGACGGAGUGGAGCAGGUUUUUUCAACUUGCAGAAGUUGUUGUUUUAUUUCUCUAGAUGCGUUCCCAUGGACUUUUUCAAGUCAAAUUGCAUGAUACAAUUUUUCUGUGUUUAUUUUUUUUAGUUGUCACUUUUUUGCCAAGUACUCAAUGGUGCUUUUUAGCAACAGCCUUCAAAGAUCUACUGGCGAUUGCAUUAAUGUGCUUCAUAAUUGGAAGAGAUGUCACUACAAAUAAAACUGGAUGGACUUCUAGUAUGCUCAGUAGAUGAUUAACAGUUAUGCCAACUUUUCAUCUUUCCAUUAUUCUUUAUUAAUUCUGAACAGUUUUUAAUCUGUAUAAUGAUGUUUAAGUUAAAAUUAUUUUGAAAGAAAUAUAUUAAAAUCAUUAAAAUUAAGAUACAUAGUUUGUGAUACUUCCAUUAUGCCCUUAGAAAAUCAGCAAGUAGAUAUGUCUCUUAUUGCUAAAAGUAAUGAUUUGAUCAUGUUUCUAAACUAAAACUAUGAUGUUAAUGAAGGAAGCAUGAUGCACCGUAUCUCAGGAAAACAUAGUUACCUUGUGAAACUUCUUGCUAGUCUGUGCAGUUUGGAAGUAAAUUCUGGAUUAAAAACUGGCCAGAGUGGCAGUAAGGGUACUGUUACAUGCUCCUGCCUAAUAUUGGCAAGUUUUGAGGAAAAUAUUUAGAUAAAUAAAUGGAAAAAUUACAAAUAUCUCUAUAAAUAGCACUGGUGGGUUGUGACAAAGCCUCAUUUUGCAAUCUGCCUGCACACCCAUUUUAUCUCAGCUUUUUUUAUUUUAAAUACUCUCUUUUGCAAACUACUGUUGUGCUUGUAGCGUAUUUAUACACUAGAUAUUUUCAGAUUUUUUUUUUUUAAAUGCUGAAUUACUUCUACAACUCUCAAAUUUAGUGCCUUAGAUACACUAACUACUGGGAUCUUUCUGCCCCUCUCCUCUGUCCCCUGGUCCCAAAGUUUAGGACUGUGUUUACUCACUCUCUGCUGCCUUUUAUCUUGUCCUCUGAUUUAAAAAAAAGUUGGAGCGGAAAAGUAGUCAGUUAUUUCAGAUUCAUAUAAUUGAGUAAAAUAACAUACUUCUGUGCCACUCUGUUAACAUGGAAGAUUAUAUUUGUGCGUGGGGGAGGUGUUGGUGGUAAUGUGAAAAUCAUGACUAUUGACUGAGCUUGACUGUAGUGGCCAAAUAUCCAAAACCACCAGAACUGUUUCAGCUGGUGAUCAGUAGUCCUGGUAGUGUUGUGGGUGCUAACUAAAGAGAAUUUUGUUCCUGUAUGAUACCUUUGGAUCUCUGUUCAUCUCAAGGAACUUAAGCCUGUCUCUUCUGUUCCUACUGCUUCAGCUUCAUUCAAAAGCAACUUCAGAGGUUAACCCUCAGUUAUUCUUCUUUAGUACCAACUGCUGCUCAGUUGAUCAAUACAGGGACAGAUCUGUUCCCAGCAACAUAUUGGGAUGAGGAGCUUCAGAUCCAGAUAUAGGCCAUUUGGGAGGGAUGAGAGAUGUAAGACAGGGUCCUGAAAAAUGGGCAGGGAAGAAAAAUAACAAAGAAAGGAGAACUCGGAAGACGGCAACAAGAGGAUACAGACGGAAGGAGCAAGAAUUAAGGUAGGACUUGGAAACUGGGUGUGGGAUUAAGGGAAAAUGAAGCACCAAAGAACAACAGAGGACAUUAUCAAAAAUAAGGACCUAUCAAACUAAAAAUGUCAGUGUGGCAGGGGAAAAGCUCUACACACUGAAAAGGAAGGUGGAUAACUAUACGGAAAGCCUGGGUGGGGGGAUUUACAUCACAUCAUAUAUUUAAACUAAAAAUCUUAGCCGCCCUCCUAGCUCUGUAAUGUUUAAUCCUACACAAGAUGAAUGUUGUAUUAGCCUGCCUAAUAAAGUGUGAUCAGAGUGGGAGAAAGAAAAUCUGUCACACUAUACUGUGACAUGAUAGCUAGAAAUAAUAGCAAUAAAAGAAAUUAAAUUAACUGGGAAGGAUAUGGGGAAAUGUUAGUAGUGAAUAUCACUGAUAAAGCAUUAGAUAGCAUGAUUUAUAAAACAGUGUCUUAUUAAGAAGCUAUUUUUCAGAUUUGUGGUACCAAUUAACUCUUCCAUGUUUUCUUCUCACUUUCUUUAAUUAUUAAAAUCUGUCUUUUUAAUAAGAAAAUUUAGUUAUUUCAGCUAUUUCUCCCCAUAUAGGAAUGGCUCUUCCCUACAAUAUUAGUGAUAUGUUUUCAAAGAUAUUUCAGCUGGCUAUUAAGUUCUCAGGGUUCUCUUUUUUUUAACCCAGCAUUUUUUUUUUCUCUGAAGGACUGAUCUUUCUCAUUCAUAGUUCCUGUUUCCCUUUAUUAACGAUUUUAAGCUGUGCCCUUUCCAUAAAAACCCUUUAAGAACUAUAUUUACAAAUCUGUCUCAGCUUUUAGGUUAAUAAUCUUAAAUGUGACAUAGUAGAUUUCCCAAUGUACUUUAACAGUAGUGCUUUUUUCAGUUGUCUUUAUGGUCCAUCACUCAUAAGUUGUAAUGCAAAAACCCUCUACAUUUCUGAAAUCUAUGAUGUUUGGGUUCUAAUAGUGCAUUAUAUAGCGAGGAAUAAACAAAACAGGCCUUACUUUUUGCUUUCUCUAUUACCAUCUUUUCAAUAUGUGCAGCCCAAUUAGCAAGAAGAUACAGACUAGCUUUAUUCCUUCAUCCCAAGCUUAUAGAUUGAUAAACUUUUGUUUGAAAGGGGAGCCUAGGAGCAAAGGUAUUUUGUAAAUCCUGGAGGAGGAAGGUGCUCACUCUAACUGUUUUCUUUUGUUUUAUAUAUAUGUUUACAAGGUAUUCCAACACUUCAGUGGAAGCAUCCCUGUUGUAUAAUGUCUAUCCAUUCAGCUUUGCUCCUCUGUACUGCACAGUUUUUAUGUUCUAAAAAUUCACUUACGCUUUAUCAUCUUGUCAGAUUUCCGUUAUGCUGGCUGAGCAUACUGUCUCAUUUACUGUCACUUCUAAUUAGUCCUAAAUUUCAACAAUCCUCAUUUUCCCACACAUCAUUUUUCAUCCAAAAUUUUCUAAAUCUGUUGCAGAACAGCUCUGGUCUUUAUAUGCUGCAAUAUGGUAGAUGGGCGUGCAAGACAUUUUAUCCGUGUCUUGCUGUAGUUACUGUCUUUUUGCUUUAAUGCAUCCUGACCCACAUAUUUUCUAAAAUAGUUCCUAACAUUGACUGGAUGGAGGAUUAUGUUAGUGGACGUAAUAUCUGUUGUUUCUCCUUUGUAUCAGUCAAACCAUUCUCUGGGUAAUUAUGAGUAUUUUCCUGUGUUCACAGGUGUUGGUGUGUUAAACAAUUUAUUGUAUGCGGUAGGUGGUCAUGAUGGUCCUUUGGUAAGAAAAAGUGUUGAAGUGUUUGAUCCCGUUGCCAGUACGUGGAAGCAGGUUGCAGACAUGAACAUGUGCAGAAGGAAUGCAGGUGUUUGUGCUGUAAAUGGUCUCUUGUAUGUAGUUGGAGGAGAUGAUGGUUCCUGUAAUUUAUCAACAGUUGAAUAUUAUAAUCCAACAACUGAUAAAUGGACAGUUGUGUCAUCUUGUAUGAGUACAGGAAGGAGCUAUGCAG